UGAGAGGGAUGCAAGCAAGUCUUCGC
rnacentral:piRNA from 1 species